GGGAAGAGCGGGCGGGCGGGAGGCGCCGGCGCCAGACGCGGAGGGAAGGAGCUACGAGUAGCCGCCGAGAGGCCGCGGAGCCAGCGACGACCGACCCAGCCGAGCCGCCGCCGCCGCCGCGCCCCCAUGGCGGCCGCCAAGGACACUCAUGAGGACCAUGAUACUUCCACUGAGAAUACAGACGAGUCCAACCAUGACCCUCAGUUUGAGCCAAUAGUUUCUCUUCCUGAGCAAGAAAUUAAAACACUGGAAGAAGAUGAAGAGGAACUUUUUAAAAUGCGGGCAAAACUGUUCCGAUUUGCCUCUGAGAACGAUCUCCCAGAAUGGAAGGAGCGAGGCACUGGUGACGUCAAGCUCCUGAAGCACAAGGAGAAAGGGGCCAUCCGCCUCCUCAUGCGGAGGGACAAGACCCUGAAGAUCUGUGCCAACCACUACAGUAGGUGGCAUGAACGACCACCUCAACAGUCCCCAGCAGCUUGGCCUGGGACCUUUGGGAAGAUUCAGGGCUGAUUGGGAACUGGGGAGCGUGUUAUUUCAUGGAGUGCAAGUUUGUGGUGUGUUUGUUGAAUUUAAAACGAGAAAUACGUUUUUCAGACGUGCCUCUGAACUCAGAGCAGGCCCGCAGCGAAGCUUAGAGCACACGGGGGUGUGGAGUCAGCCAGACGGGCCCUGAUGGGAGGACGCAGCGCCCAGGCUGGG
rnacentral:sRNA from 1 species